rnacentral:rRNA from 1 species
GAGUGGCGAACGGGUGAGUAACACGUGGGUAACCUGCCCAUCAGAAGGGGAUAACACUUGGAAACAGGUGCUAAUACCGUAUAACACUAUUUUCCGCAUGGAAGAAAGUUGAAAGGCGCUUUUGCGCCACUGAUGGAUGGACCCGCGGUGCAGUAGCUAGUUGGUGAGGUAACGGCUCACCAAGGCCACGAUGCAUAGCCGACCUGAGAGGGUGAUCGGCCACACUGGGACUGAGACACGGCCCAGACUCCUACGGGAGGCAGCAGUAGGGAAUCUUCGGCAAUGGACGAAAGUCUGACCGAGCAACGCCGCGUGAGUGAAGAAGGUUUUCGGAUCGUAAAACUCUGUUGUUAGAGAAGAACAAGGAUGAGAGUAGAACGUUCAUCCCUUGACGGUAUCUAACCAGAAAGCCACGGCUAACUACGUGCCAGCAGCCGCGGUAAUACGUAGGUGGCAAGCGUUGUCCGGAUUUAUUGGGCGUAAAGCGAGCGCAGGCGGUUUCUUAAGUCUGAUGUGAAAGCCCCCGGCUCAACCGGGGAGGGUCAUUGGAAACUGGGAGACUUGAGUGCAGAAGAGGAGAGUGGAAUUCCAUGUGUAGCGGUGAAAUGCGUAGAUAUAUGGAGGAACACCAGUGGCGAAGGCGGCUCUCUGGUCUGUAACUGACGCUGAGGCUCGAAAGCGUGGGGAGCGAACAGGAUUAGAUACCCUGGUAGUCCACGCCGUAAACGAUGAGUGCUAAGUGUUGGAGGGUUUCCGCCCUUCAGU